rnacentral:lncRNA from 1 species
GCCAAUGCAUCUUCUUAGGCUCAUCAUCCUCAACAAUGCUAGACUUAGAUUUCUUGCUCAUAUUUUUCUUUUCCUCUUCGAUCAUUCGUAUAGGAUAGAGAUCCCUCGAUAUAGACAAAGGGUUUUUAAGUGUAACAUAAGCUUUUUUGUAGUCUGGUUUAGCAAUUAACAGGCCACCUCUCUUCUUCUUCUUUCCAUCCAUGUUUAAAGUUUGGACUGGAUCCCUCGAUAUAGACAAAGGGUUCUUAAGUGUAACAUAAGCUUUUUUGUAGUCUGGUUUAGCGAUUAAUAGGCCACCUCUCUUCUUCUUCUUUCCAUCCAUGUUUAAGGUUUGGACCUUUUCAACUUCAAAGCCGUACAAUGACUCCAAUACCCUCUUUAUCUCAAUCUAUACAUAAAAUUCCAAGAAAAUUUGAAAAUCUUUUGUAUCAGAGAAUCCCCAAUUAUUAAAUAGAACAAAAUGGAUAUUGAAGAUUCAUAUAGCUUAUGUUGGGAGUGAAGGGUUGCCUGCCAUUGUAUUUAAAAACUACUUAACUUAAAACAUAUGGCUUGUUUCAAAAGUAUUUAUUUGUUUUAACUAUGUGUCGAGCCAAACAGUAUAGCAUAAAAUGGGAAAUAUAAUAAAAAAGAUGUUACCUUGGAAGCAGAGGGAAUGGUUUUGAGGGAGAUCUCGGUGAUGUUGGAGAAAGAGGAAGGCAUGAGAAGCUUAAUCGGAAGAUUAGCAAAGUUUACAA